rnacentral:tRNA from 1 species
GCCUGGGUGGCUCAGCGGUUGAGCGUCUGCCUUCGGCUCAGGGAGUGAUCCCGUUGUUGUGGGAUCAAGCCCCACAUCAGGCU